UACGAAGGGGGCUAGCGUUGCUCGGAAUUACUGGGCGUAAAGCGCACGUAGGCGGAUAUUUAAGUCGGGGGUGAAAUCCCGGGGCUCAACCCCGGAACUGCCUUCGAUACUGGGUAUCUUGAGUUCGGAAGAGGUGAGUGGAAUUGCGAGUGUAGAGGUGAAAUUCGUAGAUAUUCGCAGGAACACCAGUGGCGAAGGCGGCUCACUGGUCCGAUACUGACGCUGAUGUACGAAAGCGUGGGGAGCAAACAGG
rnacentral:rRNA from 1 species